UCAAAGCCUGCACAGUCAAACUUCUUGACUUCACGUGGCCCAAUGGAUGCACAAGUAAUGAUACACAUGAAAAGCAUCAAUUAAAAGCAAUUGAACUUAGUGAUCGUUCACCUGCCAUCACUCAGUUCUCUCUCUCUAUCUCUCUCGUCACCGUUUACGCCGUGCCGGAGGCUCCCUCGGCGGCGGAGACACCACAAAAUCUCAAAUCUAAACCACCUUUCUACCUUAUUCUAAGCUCUAAAUCCAUAUAUAGCCAUGAAAAGUUCUACAAAUUCUUGAAUCGAGCCAAUUGAACGCAAACAACCAAGAACCCUAACAUGUCAAAGUCAAAUUAAAUGGCGUAAAACCAGAGAUUCUCAUGCAAACCAUGGGGCUAAUGAUGCCAAGAAGGUCUACUACACAGUGGUAAUCGAUUUUGCGGAAAACAGAGAAGAAAGUUUACCUCCGAAAUGGAGCACUGUUCCGGUGAAUGUCGAUCGGAGAAGACGAAGCGCGAAGGGAAAUCACUUGAACAAUAGGUGGAUCAUGGUUACGAUAACUGCAUAUGUGCAAAAAAAGUUCAUGCCAAAAUUGAUAAGAUUGCCAUGUAUAUGUUGGAUGAAUGAGUUGUAAACAAAAUAUUUACUGUGUUAUAGAGCAGGCAGAUCAAAUUGCUUGGAAUGCACGUGGGCUGCUAUGUAUGGUCACAGUACAUAGCUUAUGAAGGGAAAAUUGGAUGAGACUGUCAAUUGAGUUUUUGACCUAUCAUCAUGUUAUGCUAGGAACUUGUCAUUGGCCAUGUGGGAUGCUAUGUAUUGAAUGGAUUUGUACUUAGCUUAGUUGCUCAUGUUAUAUUAUUGUAAUGGUUCGACAUAAAUGAAAGUGAAGUUAAGGUUGUAAUCGAAUUGAUGGUGUAUUAGGAUGUAUGGUAAAAUUGGAAUUUGGAUUGUAUGGAAUUGGUUUAGGCCAUUAUAGAAAUGUGAAAAUAAUUAUGUAUUGCAAUGACUUAA